rnacentral:rRNA from 1 species
UACGUAGGGUGCGAGCGUUGUCCGGAAUUAUUGGGCGUAAAGAGCUUGUAGGCGGUUUGUCGCGUCUGCCGUGAAAGCCCAGGGCUUAACCCUGGGUCUGCGGUGGGUACGGGGCAGACUAGAGUGUGGUAGGGGAGACUGGAAUUCCUGGUGUAGCGGUGAAAUGCGCAGAUAUCAGGAGGAACACCGAUGGCGAAGGCAGGUCUCUGGGCCACUACUGACGCUGAGAAGCGAAAGCAUGGGGAGCAAACAGG